rnacentral:rRNA from 1 species
GGGACAACAGCCAGAAAUGGCUGCUAAUACCGCAUAAGCCUGCUGGCCGCAUGGCACAGCAGGGAAAACCACGGUGGUACAGGAUGGGCCCGCGUCUGAUUAGUUAGUUGGCAGGGUAACGGCCUACCAAGACAACGAUCAGUAGCCGGCUUGAGAGAGUGGACGGCCACAUUGGGACUGAGACACGGCCCAGACUCCUGCGGGAGGCAGCAGUGGGGAAUAUUGCACAAUGGGGGGAACCCUGAUGCAGCAAUGCCGCGUGGGUGAAGAAGCACUCCGGUGCGUAAAGCCCUGUCAGCAGGGAAGAAAAUGACAGUACCUGGACAAGAAGCCCCGGCUAACUACGUGCCAGCAGCCGCGGUAAUACGUAGGGGGCAAGCGUUAUCCGGAUUUACUGGGUGUAAAGGGAGCGCAGGCGGCGUGGCAAGUCAGAUGUGAAAACCCGGGGCCCAACCCCGGGAGUGCAUUUGAAACUGCCAUGCUGGAGUGCCGGAGAGGUAAGCGGAAUUCCUAGUGUAGCGGUGAAAUGCGUAGAUAUUAGGAGGAACACCAGUGGCGGAGGCGGCUUACUGGACGGUAACUGACGCUGAGGCUCGAAAGCGUGGGGAGCAAACAGGAUUAGAUACCCUGGUAGUCCACGCCGUAAAC